rnacentral:rRNA from 1 species
GACAGAGGUGGCGAGCGUUGUUCGGAAUCACUGGGCUUAAAGGGCGCGUAGGUGGUAGUGUAAGUCUGAGGUGGAAUCCUAUGGCUUAACCAUAGAACUGCCUUGGAUACUGUAUUACUUGAGUCAGUGAGGGGAGGGUAGAAUUCCUGGUGUAGCGGUGAAAUGCGUAGAUAUCAGGAGGAAGGCCUGUGGCGAAGGCGGCCCUCUGGCGCUGGACUGACACUGAGGCGCGAAAGCGUGGGGAGCAAACAGG